rnacentral:rRNA from 1 species
GACGAGCCACACGAACGUUAUUCGGAAUUACUGGGCUUAAAGGGUGCGUAGGCGGUGCGGAAAGUUGGGUGUGAAAUACCUCAGCUUAACUGAGGAAUUGCGCCCAAAACUACCGUGCUUGAGGAAGACAGAGGUGAGCGGAACUUAGGGUGGAGCGGUGAAAUGCGUUGAUAUCCUAAGGAACACCGGUGGCGAAGGCGGAUCUCUGGGCCGAUACUGACGCUGAGGAGCGAAAGCGUGGGGAGCGAACAGG